rnacentral:rRNA from 2 species
CCUACGGGAGGCAGCAGUGGGGAAUAUUGGACAAUGGGCGCAAGCCUGAUCCAGCCAUGCCGCGUGAGUGAUGAAGGUCUUAGGAUUGUAAAGCUCUUUCACCGGUGAAGAUAAUGACGGUAACCGGAGAAGAAGCCCCGGCUAACUUCGUGCCAGCAGCCGCGGUAAUACGAAGGGGGCUAGCGUUGUUCGGAUUUACUGGGCGUAAAGCGCACGUAGGCGGACUAUUAAGUCAGGGGUGAAAUCCCGGGGCUCAACCCCGGAACUGCCUUUGAUACUGGUAGUCUUGAGUUCGAGAGAGGUGAGUGGAAUUCCGAGUGUAGAGGUGAAAUUCGUAGAUAUUCGGAGGAACACCAGUGGCGAAGGCGGCUCACUGGCUCGAUACUGACGCUGAGGUGCAAAAGCGUGGGGAGCAAACAGGAUUAGAUACCCUGGUAGUCCACGCCGUAAACUAUGAGAGCUAGCCGUCGGGCAGUAUACUGUUCGGUGGCGCAGCUAACGCAUUAAGCUCUCCGCCUGGGGGGUACGGUCGCAAGAUUAAAACUCAAAGGAAUUGACGG